AGUGAACGCUGGCGGUAGGCCUAACACAUGCAAGUCGAACGGCAACAGAGAACAGGCUGGCUCUUACGGGUGGCGAGUGGCGGACGGGUGAAGAAUACAUCGAAAUGUACUUUUUCGUGGGGGAACACGUAGGGAAACUUACGCAAAUACCGCAUACGACCUACGGGUGAAAGCAGGGGCUCUUCGGACCUUGCGCGAUUGAAUGAGCAGAUGUCGGAUUAGCUAGUUGGCGGGGUAAAGGCCCACCAAGGCGACGAUCCGUAGCUGGUCUGAGAGGAUGACCAGCCACACUGGAACUGAGACACGGUCCAGACUCCUACGGGAGGCAGCAGUGGGGAAUAUUGGACAAUGGGCGCAAGCCUGAUCCAGCCAUACCGCGUGUGUGAAGAAGGCCUUCGGGUUGUAAAGCCCUUUUGUUGGGAAAGAAAAGCAGCAGGUUAAUACCCCGCUGUUCUGACGUUACCCAAAGAAUAAGCACCGGCUAACUUCGUG
rnacentral:rRNA from 1 species